UAAAAGCUCAACUUAAUUAAUUCCCCACCUUAUAUCUUCAAUUAAAUUCUACAGCCCAAGACCAAUUAAAUGGAGCCCAACCUUAAAUAAAUCUUAAGACCAAUCUUUAAAACAAAAGGCCCAACAAAAACAAUUCAUGAAAGGCCCAAAAUUUUAAUUAGGGACAAGCCCAUCUCAUUUUAUAUUCUCCCCUCCCCACCGCCUAUCUUCUCCUCUAUUUCUCUCUCUCGUCUCCAUCUAUCUCUCAUUCGUCUGAAAAAGAAACUCCCAAAUUUCCCGUCGUUCUUCUCCGAGCGGGCGUCGCCUUCCACCUCCGCCGUCGGCCGCUGCUCCGUCGCUGCACCGACCGUCUCCAGCCGCCGCGUCGCUGCUCGCCGCUGGAAGGUCGCUGCUGUGCUCCUCGCCGGAAGCCGCCGUCGUCGCUGCCGGGAGACGCGACGCCGCUGCACAGAGCCAGGCUGCUGCCACCGUCGCGGCGCUGCUGUCUCUCCGUCAGGAAGAGGCUGCCGCUGCUGCUGUCUCUCCGUCGAUCCUCUGCCGUCACGACGAAAUCAGGGGACCCUACCUUCGGGUAGUCACCACCUCGAAACGCCCCGAAACUAACCCGAACAGCCCCGACAUUACGGAGGAGGAAUAUCUUUUCACGGAGGAGGAAGAUAUCAGCAGGAUCUUUAUUUAAAUUUGUUUAAUUCGCGGUCCAUUGUAUUUUAUUUUAAAUUGUGCAGUCCGCAAUUUAUUUAUCACAGACUAGAUUUUCAUAUUAUUUAUUCAA